UACGUAGGGGGCAAGCGUUGUCCGGAUUUAUUGGGCGUAAAGAGCGUGUAGGCGGCUUUACAGGUCCGUUGUGAAAACUCGAGGCUCAACCUCGAGACGCCGGUGGGAACCGUAAGGCUAGAGUCCGGAAGAGGAGAGCGUAGUACUCUGGUGUAGCGGUGAAAUGCGCAGAUAUCAGGAAGGAACACCCGGUGGCGAAGGCGGGCUCUCGGCGG
rnacentral:rRNA from 1 species